GACGAACGCUGGCGGCGUGCUUAACACAUGCAAGUCGAACGAUGAAGCUGGAGCUUGCUCUGGUGGAUUAGUGGCGAACGGGUGAGUAACACGUGAGUAACCUGCCCUGGACUCUGGGAUAACCCCGAGAAAUCGGAGCUAAUACCGGAUAGGACCUUGGAUCGCAUGAUCUGGGGUGGAAAGUUUUUCGGUCUGGGAUGGACUCGCGGCCUAUCAGCUUGUUGGUGAGGUAAUGGCUCACCAAGGCGUCGACGGGUAGCCGGCCUGAGAGGGUUACCGGCCACACUGGGACUGAGACACGGCCCAGACUCCUACGGGAGGCAGCAGUGGGGAAUAUUGCACAAUGGGCGCAAGCCUGAUGCAGCAACGCCGCGUGCGGGAUGACGGCCUUCGGGUUGUAAACCGCUUUUAGUAAGGAAGAAGCCGCAAGGUGACGGUACUUGCAGAAAAAGGACCGGCUAACUACGUGCCGGCCGCCGCAGUAAGAC
rnacentral:rRNA from 1 species